AAGCCCAGGUUGUCCACCAGCAGCGGUAGAUCACCACCAGGGGGCAGCACUAUGACGUCAGCUGCAACCCAAGAUUUUUAAAAAUUACUGAUAGGCUGGUGUCUCAUUUACUGUGGCAGAGGUCUGAUCAUGAUGUUGCCCUGCCCACAGAGUUUGACUGAAUAAUAAUGGUACUGUAGCCUAGUGUUGUAGAAGCAGUACAAUGUUGAUUUGCUUCUGCAGUGCAUUCAUACUUAACCUGGGAUAAAAUGACAAGCAUGCAUUUUUGUUUCAUUUUCAAAGUUAGGCGACGAGGACAUGAUGAGGACAAGCACUGUCAAGUCCUCUUCAGCUCCAAUGAUUAUAUCCAGUGCCCAAGGCUCCACGUCUCUAUGCACCAUUCAUCUCAACACUAACCAAAUGGUGGCUUUGUAACAGUGAUUGUGGGAGGAUGCUGUGCAGGUGUCAACAUGAAUGUGCCGGAGGACUAGAGUAUGCUGGCGUCGACACCCCACCUCCUCCCCUUCAGACUCCAUCGAGGGUUGGUCCCUGUCCUGUGAGGAGAGGAUGCAAUGGGUCUCUGCUUCAGCCGUGGCACCUUCUCUACAACCCUCGCCACUGUCACCAGUUUGUCCCCAUCCUGUGAAGGGGGGUAGGCUUUAGCCCCCUGCCUCAUCAAUCGGCAGGAUAAGCACCCUCUUCUUUGAAACAGGACAUGUUUUAUUGAUGCUCUACAUGAGUAUUAUAUACAUGUAUAUAUACAGUGCCAUGUGUAUGUUUUUACCUCCCCUACUGAUUUUGUUUACUUUUUUGCACAUUUGGCACACUUAACAUUUUCAGAUAACCACACUAAUGUAAACAUUACCCAUGACCCAAGUAAGCAUAAAAUGCAGUUUCUCAGUGAUUAAUUUAUAUUUUCUCAGAAGCUUUG